GAUGAACGCUGGCGGCGUGCCUAAUACAUGCAAGUCGAGCGAACGGACGAGAAGCUUGCUUUUCUGAUGUUAGCGGCGGACGGGUGAGUAACACGUGGAUAACCUACCUAUAAGACUGGGAUAACUUCGGGAAACCGGAGCUAAUACCGGAUAAUAUUUUGAACCGCAUGGUUCAAAAGUGAAAGACGGUCUUGCUGUCACUUAUAGAUGGAUCCGCGCUGCAUUGGCUAGUUGGUAAGGUAACGGCUUACCAAGGCAACGAUGCAUAGCCGACCUGAGAGGGUGAUCGGCCACACUGGAACUGAGACACGGUCCAGACUCCUACGGGAGGCAGCAGUAGGGAAUCUUGCGAAAUGGGCGAAAGCCUGACGGAGCAACGCCGCGUGAGUGAUGAAGGUCUUCGGAUCGUAAAACUCUGUUAUUAGGGAAGAACAGAUGUGUAAGGAACUGUGCACAUCGUGACGGUACCUAAUCAGAAAGCCACGGCUAACUACGUG
rnacentral:rRNA from 1 species